AUGAUUUUCUCCUCCUGCUGCAUUAGAAGUCCACUUGCCCAUCUUAUAACAGAUAGGGAGCUGCUACCACACGUGCCCCAAAAUGGCAGCGUGUAUUCCCGUUUUGUCCCAGGCCAGAACUCCCACCCAAAACAUCCCCACGGUGCUCCUGGGCCCUGCCAGCUCACGGCUCUGCUGCCUCCACCACACGGCAAGGAUGGUGGUGCUGUCUCACCCAGGAACAUUUCCCCUCUCCCACAGAAAUCACAGGAUUUACAGCGGAAAACGUCCAGUUUCAUUCUGAUCCAGCAAAAGCACGCUCAAAAUGGAGGCAGGGUAAAUGCAGCAUUGAGACAGGUCAGACAAGCAAAGGAGGAGAAACCCAAACAAACCACACCACAGCAGACACCAAAGCAGCAGGUGCCACUUCACAGGGAUGUCAGUCCGUUUGCAUCAGGCACUGUGUUGUCAAGUGAUCCGUGCCUCUCUCCUCCAGGACUUAGGUUUGAAGAAAGCAAAAACCACAAAAUCCAGGGUCCACUUCUGUCCAAGUCAGCGCACACCCAAAGCCAACGGCAUGGAAAGGCCCAUCCCUCUCUCUUCCUCACGGCCAGACGCAUGGGACGCCAGAGGCUCAGAUCCAGGAACCGAGAGAUAGAUCCUGAAUCAGAUUUCACAUAACUCUCGCCUGUUCCAAGGCUGCAACUGCAGAGAUCAGCUCAGGUUUAUUUUUAGGCGCUCCAGUCCUGUGCUUUUUUUUUCCAGUAAUUCUGAUCAAACUUGUUCCUGGAAUUCAGAAACAGGUUCAGCCACAAGACCAUGUCCUGUGUCUAAGAUG
rnacentral:lncRNA from 1 species